ensembl:lncRNA
AUGGUAUUUGUAGAUAUUUGUCCCUAUGAAGAUAAUUUAACCCCUCUGCACCCUAGUGUCCUCAUCUGUAAAACAGGAAAAAUAGUAGUUUGUAUUUCCCCAAUUGCUAUGGCCAUUGAAGCACUUAGCUCAAUAAAUGCUCAGUCCAUGUUCUUUGUUCUUAUUGUCACCGUUAUUGUCAUUGUCUUUGUAGUCAGUCACUGCCCAGCAAAGUUGAGUCAGAGACGCCAGGAUGAACUGAUGUUGACUGUACUCAUCCUGUUAAAGGGUCAGGAUCACAGAUGUAACAUGAAGAAUGCAAGAGGAAAGCAGGUGAUGAACAGGCAGAAGAAUACGCUGCUGAAACAACGAGGUGGUUCAAGCAUCUUAUGUAAGCAAGUCUGCAUGUACAGUUGUGACCAGGAACUCCACUUUAGGUUGCAUAUUGGAGGGAGCACAGGUGGGUACAUGGUCAGUUUCACUCUGGCAGAUCUGUUUAUCUGUGGGCAGAAACUGUGAAUUUUUUUAUCCACAGUGAGGCGGAGUGUCCUGCACGCAUGCAGCCUGUGUCCUGAAAGUUCUGGUUUGUGAAGCUGGGAAGCUGCCGACUGAUGGAACCUCAGCUCAACUUGGUCCAUCAGUCUGCCUAGGCUGGUUGUGUUUAUUUAACAACUGCUGAGGCACUGCAGAGGCAGAGGUAUGUGGCUCUUUCAAUUAUUCUGCUCAGAGGAAGAAGCAGAAAGCAUUUAGAAACCGCAUUUCUUUUAUGUAUGAUGUUUUACUAAACAGCCCUUAAGAAUGGAGGCUGUUUUAACAUUAAUAUUAUGAUUUCAAAUGGGUGUCACGGAAGAAGAGAGUAUGUCAGCUCUAGUUACUCUCUAACCUUGAAAGGCCUAUUUUCUCCUCUUGCCAACUUCUCCAUGCAGCUUAUCAGGAAGAGAGGAUUGCUAUUGCUGUCUAGUGCCCAUAAUUAAUCCCAGAGACAGUGAGGAUUUAGGACCACUGAUUGUGGCUGACUUCAAAUUAAAAAGCCACUGUUAGCGUGUGAAACAGACACCAUAUGUUAUAAAUGAAUCCUUUGCAUGAUAAGAAUGGCAAGAUAAUUUAUAUGUAAACACAGGUUGCUCUUAGAGUAGGUGUUUUUACACUUGCCCCUUCACACUUUUCAGAAAUAUUAUGAAUGCACAAAUGUGGAAAAACACAGUGUUUUCCCUUCAGUUGGUUCCCAGAAAAUGUGUAUGAUUUUAGACAUGAUGUAGUUCAAACCUCAAAUUACUGGUUAUGAAAGUUGUCUUUCUCUUUACCAUCAAUGUGGCGAGUACAAACAAAGGCAGACACUGGUCCGAUUGGUUAGUGUAAUCCAAUUGCCAAGUUGAGCUUCUUUUCUUGUUCCUGCCAUGACUAAUUUGUGGUUUCACAAAGUGUUUCUGAAUGUCAGACACAUCAAUUAUAAGAGAUGGGCAAGAUGCAUACAGUGAACCUCAAAGGGGAGGGGAGCUUAAAAAACGUUUACAAGGAACUAAAGUCAAAAUUGUCGGCAAAGGUCGUCCUGUGUUUGCAAGAGCAAUUCCCUUAUUUAAGAAGGCAUCUGAAUUAUUUCCCAAUUGAAGAACAAACUGUCCAGUGCCAAUAGGAACAACAGGCAAUGCAGUUGGUGGUCCUGUCUCUUCUUGCUGACUGGUCCUCUCCUUUCCUUCUGCUGGUCUCUGAGAUAAACACAACAAUGGCAUCUUUACUCUGUAGACAUUGGCACUUGAAGGGACAGUUGGGCUAGGUGUUUAUAAACAGAUUCUUUAAAGGUGUUUAUUUUCCAUGGCUGUAGAGAUUUUUUCCCCUACUGAAAUUCUAUUAUAUACCCUUUUGUUGUCAUGGCUGAAGCCCGUUGUUUCUGCAGAAACAAUAGGCCUGAAGAUUAGGGUUGCAUUUUACGGGCCCAGCAGCCCAGCAGGGCAUUAUAUUUGUAU